rnacentral:rRNA from 1 species
UACAGAGGGUGCAAGCGUUAAUCGGAAUUACUGGGCGUAAAGCGCACGUAGGUGGCUUGAUAAGUUGGGUGUGAAAUCCCCGAGCUUAACUUGGGAAUUGCAUUCAAGACUGUCUUGCUAGAGUGUGGAAGAGGGAAGCGGAAUUCCAGGUGUAGCGGUGAAAUGCGUAGAUAUCUGGAGGAACAUCAGUGGCGAAGGCGGCUUCCUGGUCCAACACUGACACUGAGGUGCGAAAGCGUGGGGAGCAAACAGG